AACGAACGCUGGCGGCAGGCUUAACACAUGCAAGUCGAACGCAUCCUUCGGGGUGAGUGGCAGACGGGUGAGUAACGCGUGGGAACGUGCCCUUCAGUUCGGGAUAACCCAGGGAAACUUGGGCUAAUACCGGAUACGUGCGAGAGCAGAAAGAUUUAUCGCUGAAGGAUCGGCCCGCGUCUGAUUAGCUAGUUGGUGGGGUAAUGGCCCACCAAGGCGACGAUCAGUAGCUGGUCUGAGAGGAUGAUCAGCCACAUUGGGACUGAGACACGGCCCAAACUCCUACGGGAGGCAGCAGUGGAGAAUAUUGGACAAUGGGCGCAAGCCUGAUCCAGCCAUGCCGCGUGAGUGAUGAAGGCCUUAGGGUUGUAAAGCUCUUUCGUCCGGGACGAUAAUGACGGUACCGGAAGAAGAAGCCCCGGCUAACUACGUGCCAGCCGCCGCGGUAA
rnacentral:rRNA from 1 species